UUUACUAUAAUUUUGUACUAGAGAUAGUAUAAAGUUGAGUCACUUAUUUUAGGACGGAGGGAGUACAAAAUAAAAAGUACGUAUAUAGUAUGAAAUACAGUAUAAUUUAUGAUAGAAUCUAAUGAAACUAAUUUGGUAUUGUAAAUUUGAUAUAUCUUUUUGUAGACUCGGUCAAACUUAAAGAUGUUUGACUUAGAGCAAAAAGCUAGAACUUCAAAUAAUUUGGGACAGAGGGAGUACUUGUGAGGCAUUAAUAUCUGUAUUUUUUGCUUGUUAUCUUUCGAGAAAACUGAUAUUUUUGUUAUUGAUCUGCAUUUGGCAGCCUCGUAUAAUACUAAUGUUGGUUUCAUGAAAUAAUCAAAGUUUCAUUUGUGACAUGUCUUGCUGACAAAUUCUGAUUUAGUUUUCUGACAUUUUUUCGAGAAAACGCAAAGAGCCUUGCGUUUCUUUGUAUUGAAAAGAAAGGGGGGGGGACAGAGUGAUCUCUUUUGUUGUUAAUUCAUGAUGACACAUGCAUCUGGGCAUCUUAUUAUGCUGCAUUACCACAUGAUUUAAUAGCACAGAUCAUUCAGCUUAAAUCUGUACAUAAUGACCACUACAAUUGUUAUUACCUGAUGCAUCAAAAAGUAUAUUGGCUGGUAUCGCUUAUAUGGUUGAAUAUUACAGCUAUUGACUUCCUGUGUGACAUCUCAUGUAAAAGAGAAAAUCACAUCUAAAUAAUGUACCAUAUAUGUUCACUCUGCAUAUUCUAGUACUUUUGGACUCAUGAGAUACUUGUCAUGGAUGGUUGUGGAUUUGUGGCCAUGCGUUCUAGACUUUCUAGAUGACAAUAUCAGUGUUAGCAUGAAGCCCGUAUAUUGGAGUCCAAUAAAAUCAUGUUACAUCAUCUAUCAACCAUUCAACUUUGAGGUAAUGAAGGAUGCUCAAUGUGGAACGAGUUUUGCUUUGAUUACAGAACACAUUUCUCAUGUCACACAAUUAACACAGUUGAUGCUGACAAGUUUCACCAUCUUUAUUAUGAUUUUUUAUUGAAUAUAAAAUUUAGAUAUAGUGCAUUGUUCCGUUAAGAAAGCUGUAUUGGUCAUUAACUCAUUAUGGUUUAACUGAUGCUGAGCAUUUACCCAUGAUACCUUGCAUCGGGAAACUGAUUCAGUUCUUGUGCUAAUAAUUAAUGAGGUAAAGUUCUCGCUAACAUCAUCACCUUUGGGAUUUUAGCCGAUAAAGUAAAGUGCUCUAUUCAAAGGACAUGAACAGGACAACCAACACUGAUCACUUGAGGCAUGAAGUUGUCUAUUCUUUUCUGUACUGAAAAGGGAAUGUGGUGCUUUCUUAACAUGGUUACAUUGCUGAUGCACCUCCUGCUUCCUGUCCUACAUGAUUAAGAGUUUCUUUUGUGUAUAAUCUUUGUGGUACAAUAUUGCAAGGACAAUUUCUGCAGCCAUGUGGGAGCCUUGAGGAAUCUUUUGUCACGCAGUGGGUUCUGUACAUCCUUCAGAGUUCCCCUUUCAUUAGGGGGUACCACAAGAAAGCUAUUCUCUUAUCUUAAAAAAAAAUCAUGGAUUAGCAUAAAAUAAUGGCAAAGGAACGAUGAUAUGGUCUGAUAUAUACAUAUGGAAUUGUACAGAUCUGAUGUCUAGUGGAGGUUGAGCUCGUACCCAAACCUUCUCUACUUAUGCUUUUUAUACAUGCAUUUCCAUUGCAGACAGAACAGUAUGAUGUUCGUUUUACUUCCCAUAUAUACAUGUAUAGAGCUGAAAAAAUUUGAUGUCUGAGUAGAGGUUAAACUAGCUUGAGAUGCUAAGAGCUGGCUAGCUAGAGAUGCAUACCUUUUAUGCUUUGCAUACUUAUUCAUGUAUUUCCGUGAUGGAAGUUGACAGAAAUGCAGGCAUUGGAGUUUUUCUCAACAAUGCUUGAGGGCCAAACACCAGAAGAAGAGAACUAGGUGUAGCCAAGGACAGCUUGCCGGCUAAUUCUUAAGGCUCUACGAACUCCCAACACCAGAAGCCGGCAAGUCAUCCUUGGCUGCAUCCCGUUCUCUGCCCCUUAGCGUAUGGCAACCCAGCAGAAGCCUCCGCAGUGUAUGUUCUAAUACUAAGCUCUACAGCCAGUACUCAAACGCAAGAGGGGAGUAUAUAUAUAGAUGCAUCAAAUCAAUACCUAGCAAGCAUCCAAAGGUUAGUGAUUCAGAAGAUUAUAGUCCAUCCCAAGACAUCAUAGCAAUUCCACUCCCGGUGUUUGUCGUGGCCAACAUCUAACCUACACCAGGGACAUUGUGUCCUGGCCGAAGCAAUCCUGCAAGCUAGACCCACAUCCACCAGAAAGAAUCAUUUGUGCCGUGGCGGGGACCUACAAAAUCUAUGGAGGCAUGGUGGCGAUACUGUUGUCGUCGGUGCCUCGGUGGCCGUUGCUCUUGUGCCAUUAUUCUUUUUCCAUAUCCGGCUUGAGAACCCGCUGGUGGUUCGUUUGGAGCAUCCGGGGAUUGGUUAUUUUGGCGGCGUCCUCUACUUGAUGGGGUCCCCCUCCCCCCAUGAUUUGAUGCCCAGCGUAUCUCAAUUGGAUUGCGUGGUCUCUCUCUCCUAGGCUCUCUUCCCACCCCCUAAUUCGAUUGGUGAGCAAUCUAGUCGUAGGAUAAGUGGUCCUAGUGACACGAUAUGGAUCUUUUAGGCUGGUUGGCUGGUUGUAAUGGAUAGUAUCAUAUACUAGUAUCAUGUAUCAUGUAUAUGAUACUAGUAUAUGAUACCACAUCCGUAAUGCAUAGUAUCAUGUACUAGUAUCAUAGAAAGGUUCAUUUAUUACCAUGGAUGACACAUAUUAACACAACAUUUAAUAUGAUACGGUAUCAUAAUAUGAUACUCAAUUAUCUUUUUCUUCAUUUAAUUCUAUGUCACCUCAUCAAAUAUGUCUAGGUGGCAUGCAUGAUACUACUUAUGAUACUCCCAUUACAACCAGCCUUAGUGCAAAUGUCUCCCACACAAUUUCAGAGGUAGCACCUGGUUUCCAAAAUCAAGCAGUUCCUCAUUGGCUCCCAAAGUUUGACGACCUGUCCUAUAUGGUUUCUUAGAACAUCAACGCCUCGAACAACCUCUCAUACGUUCGUGAACGCGUGCGGACAAUAACCGAGCAAGAAAGAAAAAAAACGAUUAUACCAGGUCCCACAUAUUAUUUCUAAAUGUCCGGAUUGUCCGCGGAUCCUCAUAUUAAAGACAAAUAUGAGGAGGAUAUAAGGACUCGCGGACGCGUUCAGACGCGCUUAGUCAGUCUGCCUCUGGGACUUGACCCCACCCUGGAUCACCUUUUUUUUCUUUAUUCAUUUUUCUCUCUAUCUUCCUUUUCAUCAAUCACUUGCAAAUGAUCAGACAUAUGAGAAAAUAAAAUAAAAUAUAUGGCUACGCAGACGAACAAAUAGAGGACACGUUCGGUCACUGACCACACACUCUCACAGACUAUUAAGGAAUCAUAUUUGCUAUGCCUUGAUGUAGAUGCUCUUAUUAACGCUAAUCCUAGAUUGAUUAUCUUGCGGGAGAGCCCACGGUUAGCAUUCUGGUAACUAUCAGGUUGAGUGAGGUUGUCUCGGGCUGAGACCAUUUUAUAGCUGCUAACUUGCUAUGCCAUUGAGUUAUUGAUUUGGCUACUUCAAAGACUAAUCUAGUUACUUCUUCCAAGUCGAUGCAGAAAGUUAGGCGGCAGAGACUCGCCCUGGCAAAAACCAAAAUCAGUUUCUGAAUUAAUUGUUUAUUUUGUUCAUUGCCCACAAGGCAUCACCUACUGCUAAAUAAACUACGAAAAUCCUGACUCUGUCAUUUUCGCAGGGCUCUGACCUCUCUAAUUUUACAUUGGACAACAUGCUAGGUUCGUGCAGGGAUCAAGCACCUACGCACUGGGGAACACAAAGCUAGUUGAUGUCCACACGCACUUGUGAGUGGCUCUGGUAUUUUGACCUGAAAAAGUCGCUCAACUAUGAGAAUGAACUUUCUAUUGGAAUAAUCAUAAUUGAAAAAUGUGUACAUAAAUAUAUAUUCUUGGGGGAAAGAUUUAGGUCGACAUACUACUUUUUGGAGAAAAAGAUUUGUUUUGCCAUGUGCAAGGCAGAAAGUCAAGAUAUGCUACAACUGGCUACCAAAAUUUUUGGGGUUCAUCGUCCUGAAUAUAUAUUACGCACCAGUCAAUUCCAGUUGGAACUAUGCUUGUGAGAUCCAACAUCUUAAAUUCGCACUAGCAAAUCUUUUAUAUCAGAAGCAUCAUAGUAUAAAUCAUAUAAAAUAUCAACAUGAUAAGACUGAAAAGACAACGGAACACUAACCUUGCAAAAAAGAAAACACUAGUAAAGAAAAAAAUUACAAUCGAAA